rnacentral:lncRNA from 1 species
UUUAAAACAAAUAAUCCAUUCACAAUGGGUGCAAAAGCCAUAAACAUAUCAUUCUUAGAGAUCACACAACCAUUGUUUUCACUCGCAAAUGAAUAACCAUCCUUCAUCAAGCAUGAAGGAGACAAAAUGUUUCGACUUAAACUAGGAACAAAAUAACAAUUAUUCAACUCCAUAAUAAAUCCUGACGGGAGGUGGAGUUGCAUCGUCCCGAUGGUUAACGCAGCAACUCUUGCAUUAUUGCCCACGCGGAAAUCAACUUCUCCUCUUUCCAC